rnacentral:rRNA from 1 species
AUGAUUGAUUCAGAGUGUCGGCCAGACUUGUGGACGUGCAAUGCCAUGGUGUCAGUUCAUGGCCGGUGUGGGAUAGCACUGGAGGCUGAGCAGAUGUUCAUGGAGCUGCUACACAAGGGUUUUAAGCCAGAUACAGUUACCUAUAAUUCUCAUGCUUUUGCGAAGGAAGGAGAUGUCGACGCAGUGGAGCGGGUGUGUGAGGAAUAUGUCAAGGCUGGGUUCAGGAAUGAUGGAAUUACUUACAAUACCAUGAUCCAUAUGUAUGGGAAGAUGGGCAGGCUUGACUUGGCACUUGGUCUGUAUGAUGAGAUGAGAGCCAUAGGCCGCACUCCAGAUGCUGUGACUUACACUGUCUUGAUUGAUUCUCAGGGGAAGGUGUAUAUGAUUUCUGAUGCAGGGAAGGUGCUGGAGGAGAUGGUGGGUGCAGGAUUAAAGCCAACCCUGGUAACCUUUAGUGCUUUGAUAUGUGCAUAUGCCAAAGGUGGGAGGCGGGACGAGCGGCGGAGCAGACAUUUGAUUGUAUGGUUGUGUCAGGUGUCAAACCUGAUCGCU